rnacentral:rRNA from 1 species
AGUGAAGCGGCAACAGCUCAAAUUUGAAAUCUGGCCCCCAGGGUCCGAGUUGUAAUUUGUAGAGGAUGCUUUUGGCGCGGUGCCUUCUGAGUUCCCUGGAACGGGACGCCACAGAGGGUGAGAGCCCCGUAUAGUCGGACACCAAGCCUCUGUAAAGCUCCUUCGACGAGUCGAGUAGUUUGGGAAUGCUGCUCAAAAUGGGAGGUAAAUCUCUUCUAAAGCUAAAUACAGGCUAGAGACCGAUAGCGCACAAGUAGAGUGAUCGAAAGAUGAAAAGCACUUUGAAAAGAGGGUUAAAAAGCACGUGAAAUUGUUGAAAGGGAAGCGCUUGUGACCAGACUUGCGCCCGGUUGAUCAUCCAGCGUUCUCGCUGGUGCACUCUGCCGGGCUCAGGCCAGCAUCGGUUCUUGCGGGGGGAUAAAAGCUGUGGGAAUGUAGCUCCCUCGGGAGUGUUAUAGCCCGCUGCAGAAUACCCCCGCGGGGACCGAGGUACGCGUUCCGCAAGGAUGCUGGCGUAAUGGUCACCAGCGACCCGUCUUGAAACACGGACCAAGGAGUCAAGCAUUAGGGCGAGUGUUUGGGUGUCAAACCCGCACGCGAAAUGAAAGUGAACGUAGGUGAGAGCUUCGGCGCAUCAUCGACCGAUCCUGAUGUAUUCGGAUGGAUUUGAGUAAGAGCCUUACCGCUUGGACCCGAAAGAUGGUGAACUAUGCUUGAAUAGGGUGAAGCCAGAGGAAACUCUGGUGGAGGCUCGCAGCGGUUCUGACGUGCAAAUCGAUCGUC